GGUUCUUAGCUCAGUCAUAGAGCGUCUGCUUUUGAUGCAGAAGGUCCCAGAUUCCAUCUCUGUCAUCUCCA